rnacentral:rRNA from 1 species
GACAUCGAAACUGAAGACCCCUUAUAGACUAUGAGGUUGAUAGGUCAGAGGUGUAAGUGUGGUAACACAUUCAGCUUACUGAUACUAAUCGGUCGUGAGGCUUAACCAU